CUUCUUGGUCAUUUAGAGGAAGUAAAAGUCGUAACAAGGUUUCCGUAGGUGAACCUGCGGAAGGAUCAUUAAAGCGUUGCCGACGUCGGCCCCGGCCGUCCGGCUUGAGAUAUAGCCUGGACGGUGCUGGAGGUCGCCGGCAGUUGCCCAUUCUUGCCUACUGACCCAGUUGCCUCGGCGAGCCCUGCCACAGGUGGCAGACCGGAAGCCGCCUGAGCCCCUAGGGCCUAGGCGGCCCUGGCCAGUGCCCGCCGACGGACAUACCUAAAAUCUUUAUAUAUUGGCCGUCUGAGCGUAUAAAGCAAAUCAAUUAAAACUUUCAACAACGGAUCUCUUGGUUCCGGCAUCGAUGAAGAACGCAGCGAAAUGCGAUAAGUAAUGUGAAUUGCAGAAUUCCGUGAAUCAUCGAAUCUUUGAACGCACAUUGCGCCCCCUGGUAUUCCGGGGGGCAUGCCUGUUCGAGCGUCAUUGCAACCCUCAAGCUCGGCUUGUGUGAUGGGCGACCGUCCUUCCCCUAGGGGCGGGAUGCGUCCGAAAAGCAGUGGCUAGGCCGCGAUUCCGGCGCCUGAGCGAAUGGGACUUCCACCGCUUCUAGGACCGGCCGGCACUUGGCCUUCAAACACGGUCUUAACUGACCAUCUAGGUUGACCUCGGAUCAGGUAGGGAUACCCGCUGAACUUAAGCAUAUCAAUA
rnacentral:rRNA from 1 species